GAUGAACGCUGGCGGCGUGCCUAAUACAUGCAAGUCGAGCGAACAGAUGAGGAGCUUGCUCCUCUGACGUUAGCGGCGGACGGGUGAGUAACACGUGAAUAACCUACCUAUAAAACUGGAAUAACUUCGGGAAACGGGGCUUAAUACCGGAUAAUAUAUUAAACGGCAGGGUUCAAUAGUUAAGGAGGUUUUGCCGGUAACUAAUGGAUGAUUCCGCGCCGCAUUAGCUAGUUGGUAAGGUAACGGCUUACCAAGGCAACGAUGCGUAGCCGACCUGAGAGGGUGAUCGGCCACACUGGAACUGAGACACGGUCCAGACUCCUACGGGAGGCAGCAGUAGGGAAUCUUCCGCAAUGGGCGAAAGCCUGACGGAGCAACGCCGCGUGAGUGAUGAAGGUCUUCGGAUCGUAAAACUCUGUUAUUAGGGAAGAACAAAUGUGUAAGUAACUAUGCACGUCUUGACGGUACCUAAUCAGAAAGCCACGGCUAACUACGUG
rnacentral:rRNA from 1 species